UCUAAGAUGAAAGGGAGCACAGUUAUCAUUUACGACUUCGGCGUGAAAUAUGUAAAAUAAUGUAGGCUUUUAAGUUCAGAUAUUUUAACUACGAAAAAAAAUAUUGAUAUAUAAUUCAAACAAUUUCAUGUUUGAUAUUGAUUGUGUCUGAUUAUGCAAUCUAUAUCAAUUUUCUCUUCCCAAUAAAAAUAUCUCUGCCCUGUUUGACCUAAUUAGAUCCAACAUGGUGGACAUGCGGCUAAUUCUUUGAAGCAACGUCCACAUCACGUUAGAUAUCCUUAAUUCGUUGAAUUUUGAACUGUUUUGUUUAAGCUCUAAAAUGCCUGUCUUGAAGGGAAAAGCGGACAUAUAUUUUGAGGAAGAGGAUCUUCCAUACGAAGAAGAAAUUCUAAGAAAUCCAUAUGCAGUGAAGUGUUGGCUUAGGUAUAUUGACCACAAGAAAGCAGCACCCAAGAAUGCAGUCAACAUGAUCUAUGAAAGAGCGCUAAAAGAGCUCCCAGGAAGCUACAAGCUCUGGUACAACUACCUGAAGCUAAGGAGACAACAGGUCAAAGGUCAUUGUAUCACAGAUCCUUUAUAUGAAAGUGUCAACAAUGCCUUUGAACGUGCUUUGGUUUUCAUGCAUAAGAUGCCUAGGAUCUGGUUAGACUAUUGUCAGUUUCUAAUGGACCAGAGUAAAAUCACCCUGACGAGAAGGACCUUUGACCGCGCCCUGCGUGCACUCCCUAUCACUCAACACAAUAGAAUAUGGCCACUGUACCUUACCUUUGUCAAAAAAUACCCACUUCAAGAAACAGCUGUCAGGGUAUAUAGGAGGUAUUUAAAGCUCUUCCCAGAAAAUGCUGAAGAGUUUAUUAAUUAUUUGACUACAAUUGAUUGGCUGAACGAGGCUGCCAAGAAAUUAGCGGACACCAUCAAUGACGAAGAUUUUGUUUCUAAAGCAGGGAAGUCUAAGCAUCAGCUUUGGAAUGAAUUAUGUGAAAGUAUAACAAAAAACCCAGACAAGAUCUCAGAUUUGAAAGUGGAGCCCAUUUUGAGACAAGGCAUAAAGAGAUACUCUGACCAAGUUGGCCUUUUAUGGAAUUCACUGGCAGACUAUUACAUUAGAGGAGGGAAUUUUGAAAGGGCACGUGAUAUCUAUGAGGAGGCCAUCCAAACUGUUCUGACAGUGAGGGAUUUCACACAGGUAUUUGAUGCAUAUGCACAGUUUGAGGAGAGCAUGAUAAGUGCCAGGAUGGAAACCACAGCAGAGAUUGGUCCAACUGAAGAAGAUGACCUUGACUUAGAGCUGCGAUUGGCUAGGAUGGAGGAGCUGAUGGACAGGCGGCCUCUACUGUUAAACAGUGUUCUUCUGAGGCAAAACCCACACAACGUCCAUGAGUGGCAUAAAAGAGUGCAGCUUUAUGAGGGAAAGCCAAGAGAGAUAAUCAACACCUUCACUGAGGCUGUGCAGACGGUGGACCCCAGGCUGGCCUCUGGGAAACCCCAUACAUUGUGGGUAGAGUUUGCCAAGUUUUAUGACACUGCUGGGCAAAUUGAGGAUGCCAGGAUCAUCUUUGAAAAGGCAACCAAAGUGGCAUACGUUAAGGUGGACGACCUGGCUUCAGUUUGGUGUGAGUGGGCCGAAAUGGAAAUAAGACACGAGAAUUAUGAAGAAGCCAUUAAACUUCUUCAAAGGGCCACAGCAUUGCCUCCAAGGAAAGUAGACUAUCACGACAUAAGUGAACCUGUACAGAACAGAUUGUACAAGUCCCUGAAGGUGUGGUCACUGUACGCUGACCUGGAGGAGAGCUUUGGCACCUACAAGACAUGUAAAGCUGUGUAUGACAGAAUAAUAGACCUGAGAAUAGCCACUCCUCAGAUCAUCAUCAACUAUGGCAUGUUUCUGAAUGAAAAUAACUACUUUGAGGAAGAAUUUAAGGCAUAUGAGAAAGGGAUUGCCUUGUUCAAAUGGCCCAAUGUGUACGACAUCUGGAACACAUACCUCACCAAGUUCAUUGAAAGAUAUGGUGGAAAAAAGCUGGAGAGAGCUCGAGAUCUGUUUGAACAGUGCCUGGAAAAGUGCCCACCUAAGUUUGCUAAAGCUAUCUAUUUACUGUAUGCCAAACUGGAGGAGGAUCACGGGCUUGCGAGACACGCCAUGUCUGUGUAUGAUAGAGCGACUAAAGGAGUGUUACCAGAGGAGCAGUAUGAGAUGUUCAACAUCUACAUCAAGCGAGCUGCAGAGCUGUAUGGAGUGACCCACACCAGACCAAUCUAUGAGAAAGCCAUUGAAGUUUUGAAUGAAGAACAGGCCAGGAGUAUGUGCCUCAAGUUCGCUGAUCUUGAAAGGAAACUGGGAGAAAUUGACCGUGCUCGAGCCAUCUAUGGGCAUUGUUCACAGAUGUGUGAUCCCAGGAUUACUGCAGAAUUUUGGCAGACGUGGAAAGACUUUGAAAUCCAACAUGGCAACGAGGACACUGUGCGAGAAAUGUUGCGAAUCAAACGAAGUGUCCAGGCGACGUUCAACACCCAGGUCAAUUUUAUGUCAGCCCAGAUGCUUGCUGCACAGUCCACUAAAGAAGAGGCUGCUUCAGAAGAAAAGAAUGAGAUGGAAAAACUUGAAGAAAGAGCACGUCAGUUGGCUGAAGAAGCAGUGCGAGACCAACCCAAACCUCAGAAAGGAAUAUUGUUUGUUAGGAGUAAUACAACUGAAGAAGAACUUGGUGAAAUGACGAAGACCAACAAUCCAGAAGAGAUCAACAUAGAUGAAGACUUUGAAAGUGAUGAAGAAGAAACAGUUGAAGAAGUGCACCUGGAGAAACAAGCCAUUCCGUCAGCAGUUUUUGGAACAUUGGAUAAGGAUGAUGAUGAUGAUGAUUAAAACUGGAAAGAUGAAAAUGACCAAAGAUGUGGAAAUUAUGACUCCCUGGUGGUUCAACUUCUUACUUAAAAAAAAACACUUAUGAAACUUUCACAAUAAAAUAUCACUUAGAAUGGACAGCAAAACGAAAUUUAACAUUGUUUUGUAAGUAAUCAGCAAAACAAAAUUUAAUAAUGUUUUGUAAAGUGAUAAGACUUUAGUGACCACUUCUUGUGUGACUAUGAGAAUGGACUGAGUAUAAAGGUCUGGCCAUUAAAAGAUGGAGUUAGAAUACUGUCAAAAAAUUUUUAAAGAGCAUUUUAUGGCUGAAUGGGCCCUGAGUUUCAGAGGUCCCUGGAGAUAAAUCCCUCUACCAUCAGAAUGCAUUUGAAACAGUACAGGUAUGUCGUCUCAUAUAUCCUCUACCAUGCCCAGUGAUUGAUCUUUCACAAGAUAUUCACAGAUGAUGUCUUUGGCUAAAUAUGGUCAAUUUUCUAACUGUGCUGGCUAGUGGAAAAUGUGCCUAUAAUAUCUGCUGCCCUGGUAGAGGUUAACUCUCAUACAGGCUGAUAGUUGGUGAAAGUCUAUUGAUCUCAGAACCUCGGGGUGGAUGCAGUGUGACUCAGUUAAGGCUGUUUAUUUAAGCUGGUUCAUGAUUAAAAAAGAUGGUCAAAAAUCUUUUUACGGAAAUUGAUGAAACCAAGGUCACGCUGGGCAUCAGUUAUCUCAGAGACUGGAGUUCCACUUGGAAAAUGUUAUUUCCAAACAAUGGAUCUAAAUUUAUCUUUAAUGAAGCUGUAAAGAUAGAACCUUGCCAGACUUGUGAAAUAAAUUGCAAUGCUAUUGAAACAGGAAAAGACUAUUCCUGUCCUGUCGUGGAAGCACUUUCUCUUGGGAUCGCUUGAAAAAAAGGAGAGGAAAAAACCACUGAAUACUUGCCGGAAACCAAAAAGCAUUAUAACUUUGUUUUUCCUGAAAAGUGUUCUGACACCCAAAACUUAUCAUGGAAUUUGGAUUUUUCAUGUGAACGGUGCCUAAAACUUUCGAAAAAUUUUAAAAAUCGCAAUGUGGAAAGUCAGACCGGAAUUUUUUUUUUAAGGGUGGCAUGCUCCAUGUUGGAGUGGUGGAACUGGUUAUUUGUAACCAGGGAUUUUAUGUAGAGGCCUGCCCAAAGAAGGGUUAGGUAACAGAACGGGUGUUCUGUGGGAACUGAGUAGAUUAAGAUUUAAGUUUUUUGGCUGUUGUCUUGAGUAGCCAGCCAUGAUUGAAUAGAUUGGACAGGUGCUCACAUUACUUGUAAAAAUAGGUGGUAUUUUUCCUCAUUAUUUUUUGGUUGAUGUUAAUUAUUUUUAAAACUAAGGCGAGCUCGUUUAGGGAUAGUUUUCCUGGAAUAAAUUGUCAUAUCCAAAGUGAAUAUAUAUUGUUUAAUGCGAUUUAAAAAGAAAUUGUACAAUGACGUCAGAGACUGGAGAGCAGUUUAAAUAACUUCCAUUAUCUUGGGAUUCUCUGCAAACUUUCUUUGGCCCGCUUGACAUGCCUAAUGCCCCUA